rnacentral:lncRNA from 1 species
AAAUAAUAAAUAUAAAAAUGAGACAAAGUAACACACGUAAAAUCGUGAGACACUGGAUCUCAUCCCAACUAUAAUUACAUAACAUACUAAUUGUGAAGCAGAAAAACACGACCAACUCGAUGAGAUCAGUCGGAAACCGCCGACCGGAGUGGCGGACUACAGCCGCCCCGGGACUCCGCCGCCACCGGCUCCGAAGCCGGGGAAACCGACUCUUAUUGAGAUGAUCACCACCAGAUCAACGGUAAAAAAUUAUGGGAGGGAUGAGCAUGAGCUCGCGCCGCCGAGCCCCAAGGAAGCGCCGCCUACUCACCAAGUAACCGGCGGCGGAGCGGCGGCGGAAGGAAACUAUGGGAAGGAGGGCGGUCGGCUGCCACCGCCGACUCCCCACCACGCACCACCAGCUCAUGAUCAAGUGCCAGCUGGUGGUGGAGUGGCGGCGUCGGGAAAUUAUGGGAAGGAGGGCGGUCAGCUGCCACCGCCGACUCCCCACCACGCGCCACCAACUCACCAAGUAAGUGGUGUCGGAGCGGCGGAGAUGGAAAAGACAUGGGCGUUGUUUGAGCUCUCAGCAUCAGCUUAAUUAGCAGAAAUUAAUUACUAUAUGUAUGUAUAUAGAGAGAGGAGCGUAUAUAUGUUUGUUUAAUUACUAUAUGCUUUUGUUAUGUAAGAUAAAAAAGUUGUAGCCUCAUGAGCUUGUUUCUGCAAUAAAAAGGAAUAUAUUUUUGUUGUUUGGCGCCCC